GCCCUCUUAGCUCAGCUGGUAGAGCGCACGACUGAAGAUCUUGAGGUCGCUGGUUCAAACCCGGCAGAGGGCA
rnacentral:tRNA from 1 species